rnacentral:lncRNA from 1 species
CAGGAGCUGGACCUGGUAGAGAGCCUGCUGAAGAGCAGACCAGAGGAGCUUGAGGGCUGCUGGGAUGCCUGCAGUGUGGCAGCUGGGGGCUCUCGGGUCAGCUCCGGACGCCAGGAUCGCAACCGCCUGCCCUGGGAGGACACAGCCGGCACAGAGGAGGAUACCUCCAAGUUGACCGCCCUUCGGCUACGGCUAGAUGAAUCCCAGAAGGUUCUCCUCAAGGAGCGAGAGGAUAAGCUGGCUUUGAGCAAGAACAUCGAGAAGCUGGAGGGGGAGCUUAGCCAAUGGAAGAUCAAAUACGAGGAGUUGAGCAAAACCAAGCAGGAGAUGCUCAAGCAACUCAGCAUCCUAAAGGAGACGCACCAGGAUGAACUGGGCCGCAUGUCGGAAGACCUGGAAGAUGAACUGGGUGCACGCUCUAGCAUGGAUCGCAAGAUGGCCGAGCUGAGGGGUGAGAUGGAAAGGCUCCAGGCGGAGAAUGCAGCCGAGUGGGGCCGCAGAGAGCGGCUGGAGACGGAGAAGCUGGGCCUGGAACGGGAGAACAAGAAGCUGCGUGCGCAGGUUGGGGACCUGGAGGAGGCCCUGGCCCGCAGACGACGACAGAACGCCAGUGCCCUGGACUGUGACCUGAGGGCCAGCCAGGCCGCCCUUUUCGAGAAGAACAAGGAGCUGGCAGACCUGAAGCACGUGCACAGCAAGCUCAAGAAGCAGUUCCAGGAGAAGGUGGCCGAGCUGGCACACGCCAAUCGGCGCGUGGAGCAGCACGAGACGGAGGUAAAGAAGCUGAGGCUGCGGGUGGAAGAGCUCAAGAAAGAACUGGCCCAGGCUGAGGAUGAGGCAAGUACCAACAGGCCUGAGAGGACCAUAUACCUACCUGUGCUCCUGUGUGCACCUGUGCUCCUGUGUGCACCUGUGCUCCUGUGUGCACCUGUGCUCCUGUGUGCACCUGUGCUCCUGUGUGCACCUGUGCUCCUGUGUGCACCUGUGCUCCUGUGUGCACCUGUGCUCCUGUGUGCACCUGUGCUCCUGUGUGCACCUGUGCUCCUGUGUGCACCUGUGCUCCUGUGUGCACCUGUGCUCCUGUGUGCACCUGUGCUCCUGUGUGCUGGGGGCCUAGCACCUGAGACAGGAAGUGAUGGCAGCUGGAGAGAAAGGAAAGUGGAUGGGCUGAAUGGAUGAGCCAGUGAGGUGGUGUAAAUGGUUAGGUAGAAGGCAGGAGGAUUCCCCCCAUGCACAGGGGACUAGAUGGACAGAGGGCUGGAGAGCGGGGUGGAGGUAGAGCAAGUGUCCAGUGGAUGAUAGGUACGCAGACAGACCGAUGACUGUGUGGGUCAGUGGGCAGGGGAGGAAGGGCAUCUGAGGAGAAGCAGGUGAGGAUG